UUAUUAUUUUCUAUUACUUACAUAAAUAACAACAAGAAUAUAAGAAUAUUUUGAUACUAAAAGGGGUUUGAAAGUACAGUAUAGGUUGCACUUUGUAAAUCACGUGUGAUUUGCAAGUCACGCCUCUUUUGGGGAGAAAUUGAAUGUGCAUUAAAUACUGCUACUGUUUACAUAGUUGUUGCCAUGGAUGCAAAGUAAUUUUUUUUUAAUUAAGACUUGAUUGGAGAAUUAAAUGGAUAUAAAUAAAAAUGUCUAUUUAUUUAACUUAUUUUUCAGGAGGACUGGAAGACAUUUGGGUGUUGAGUCAAAUUUAAUGGAAAAAUUCAGUGCGAACCUGCAAUGUUUAUAAAUGGAGGGCAGUAAAACUUGAAAAUAUGCCGCACAGCUAUAUGUUUUUAUUAGUGCAAAAAAAGGUAGUGCAUGUCUCCUUUCCAGGGAAAUAUAACAUUCUCCUCAAAACUUCCUGAAUGAAGAGUGACUGCAUAUGCAAUUUAGGCAGUUCCUAUGGAAAACUGCAUUGCUGGUUUUACACAAGUGCAACCUAAAGCGCAAG
rnacentral:lncRNA from 1 species